GUGCCCUCGCGGCGCUAUUGGCCUGGCGCCAAGCCAGAAACACUUGUUGCUACGGAAGAAAUGAGAAUAGAGCGAGCCACCUCCCAAUACUAGUCGUCUUUCGUCAAAGUAUUAACAGAGAACGGAACGCAUCAGCGGAAAACCCAGAUACGAUCUUCUAGAGCUCUCGUUUGAACGGCACUCGAUCGUUCGAUUACGUGUCGAAGAGUCGCAUCUCGUUCGGCGGAUUGCGUAACGUCGAACAACUACACGCCCGUAUCGAGAAAGCGUCACGGUGCGACUGGCCUCUUCCUGGGUCAGCCGAUCCGCAAAGAGAGAGAGAGAGAGAGAAGAUACGCGUCCGGGGUGUCUGUGUGAGGACGUAGCGAGGGAGGAGGAGAAGGAGGAGGAGGCGGUCACCUCCGAGUUAUUCUAAGUGAAAGAGCGAGCGAGUGAGCGAGCAAACGAACGAACGAACGAACGAGCAAACGUGGAGGCAAGGAAGAAGAGGAUGAAAACGUGCGACCAGCCGAAUCUCUGGCUAUUCGCCAACUUCUCUUCGGGGAUUCGUGAGAAAAGAAUCUGAACGUCGAUCGUUCGAGCUGACCCACGUUCAACGUUAAGUCUUAAAAAAAUAUUCAGAUAACAUGGCAAAUAAGUGGGCAUUACCAAUUGAUUCGCAGUUGAUUAACAUACUUCCAAGAUAUAUUAAGAAUUUAUUAUCGACAAUAUAUCAUUUAUAAAAGUUCUCUAUGAUUCUAUUUAAAUUCAUGGGUGCCCAUAGUUGGUCUGAUUUAUCGAAUAAAAACAUUGACUGUGAUA